rnacentral:rRNA from 1 species
AGUGAACGCUGGCGGUAGGCCUAACACAUGCAAGUCGAACGGCAGCACAGUAAGAGCUUGCUCUUACGGGUGGCGAGUGGCGGACGGGUGAGGCAUACAUCGGAAUCUACUUUUUCGUGGGGGAUAACGUAGGGAAACUUACGCUAAUACCGCAUACUACCUACGGGUGAAAGCAGGAGAUCUUCGUACCUUUCCCGAUUGAAUGAGCCGGUGUCGGAUUGGCUAGUUGGGGGGGUAACGGCCCACCAAGGCAACGAUACGAAGCUGGUCUGAGAGGGUGACCGGCCACACGGUAACGGAGACACGGUCCAGACUCCUACGGGAGGCAGCAGUGGGGAAAUUUGAGCAAUGGGCGCAAGCCUGACGCAGCCACGCCGCGUGGGUGAGGAAGGCCUUCGGUUUGUAAAACUCUUUUAUGGGGGAAGAAAAGAAGGGGAAGUACCCCCGCCUGUCUUGACGGUACCUAAUCAAAAAGCCACGGCUAACUACGUG